UGCGAUCAUACCAGCACUAAUGCACCGGAUCCCAUCAGAACUCCGAAGUUAAGCGUACUUGGGCGAGAGUAGUACUAGGAUGGGUGACCUCCUGGGAAGUCCUCGUGUUGCA
rnacentral:rRNA from 1 species